rnacentral:rRNA from 1 species
CUACGUCGGCGACCGGCGCACGGGUGCGUAACGCGUAUGCAACCUACCCAUUACAGGGGGAUAACACUGAGAAAUCGGUACUAAUACCCCAUAACAUCCAGGGAGGCAUCUUCUUGGGUUGAAAACUCCGGUGGUAAUGGAUGGGCAUGCGUUGUAUUAGUUAGUUGGUGGGGUAACGGCUCACCAAGACAACGAUACAUAGGGGGACUGAGAGGUUAACCCCCCCACAUUGGUACUGAGACACGGACCAAACUCCUACGGGAGGCAGCAG